CCUACGGGUGGCAGCAGUGGGGAAUAUUGCGCAAUGGGCGAAAGCCUGACGCAGCGAAGCCGCGUGAGGGAUGAAGGUCUUCGGAUCGUAAACCUCUGUCAGCAGGGAAGAAAGGUCACUGUGCUAAGCAGCAGUGAAUUGACGGUACCUGCAAAGGAAGCACCGGCUAACUCCGUGCCAGCAGCCGAGGUAAUAGGGAGGGUGCGUGCGUUAGUCUGAAUUACUGGGCGUAAGGCGCUCGUAGGCGGUAUGUCAAGUCAAGGGUGAAAUCCCCGCGCUCAACGUGGGAACUGCCUUUGAAACUGGCAAACUUGAGUGGGUGAGAGGAUAGUGGAAUUCCAGGUGUAGGGGGGAAAUGCGUAGAUAUCUGGAGGAACAUCAGUGGCGAAGGCGACUUUCUGGCACAUAACUGACGCUGAGGAGCGAAAGCGUGGGUAGCAAACAGGAUUAGAUACCCUUGUAGUC
rnacentral:rRNA from 1 species